AAAAAGCCAAGAUAAAGGGGGAGGGUAGAGCUUAGGUGACAACCAAAUGAUAGCUUAGAGCAAAGCAAGGUCAACAUUGGAUCAGGACUGUGAAGUGAAACCAGUGUCCUGAAUCGCUGGAAACAAGAAGAUCACUUCCUUUAAGGAAAGCCAGCUGCCAUGUGGUGAGUGUCAGGCCUCUGAGCCCAAGCUAAGCCGUCAUAUCCCCUGUGACCUGCACGUACACAUCCAGAUGGCCGGAAGCAACUGAAGAUCCACAAAAGAAGUGAAAAUAGCCUUAACUGAUGACAUUCCACCAUGGUGAUUUGUUCCUGCCCCACUCUAACUGAUAUGAUAUAUUCUCCCCUCCACCCCACUUAAGAAGGUACUUUGCAAUAUUCUCCCCACUCUUGAGAAUGUAAUUUGUACACCUAUCCCAAACCUAUAAGAACUAAUGAUAAUCCCACCACCCUUUGCUGACUCCCUUUUCAGACUCAGCCCACCUGCACCCAGGUGAAAUAAACAGCCUUGUUGCUCACACAAAGUCUGUUAGGUGGUCUCUUUGCACGGACACGUGUGACAGUGAGGACACUCAAGCAGUCAUACUCUGGCGAAACACGGGUGGCAGGAAACCAAGUC
rnacentral:lncRNA from 10 species